CAGUCGCCGCGGUAAAACGAAGGGUGCAAGCGUUACUCGGAAUUACUGGGCGUAAAGCGUGCGUAGGUGGUGGUUUAAGUCCGUUGUGAAAGCCCUGGGCUCAACCGGGGAAUUGCAGUGGAUACUGGGUCACUAGAGUGUGGUAGAGGAUAGUGGAAUUUCCGGUGUAGCAGUGAAAUGCGUAGAGAUCGGAAGGAACAUCUGUGGCGAAGGCAACUAUCUGGGCCAACACUGACACUGAGGCACGAAAGCGUGGGGAGCAAACAGGAUUAGAUACCCGCGUAGUCCCUGUCUCUUAUAC
rnacentral:rRNA from 1 species